UACGAAGGGGGCUAGCGUUGCUCGGAAUCACUGGGCGUAAAGGGUGCGUAGGCGGGUCUUUAAGUCAGGGGUGAAAUCCCGGGAGCUCAACUUCGGAACUGCCUCUGAUACAGCACGUCUUGAGUUCGAGAGAGGUGGGUGGAAUUCCUAGUGUAGAGGUGAAAUUCGUAGAUAUUAGGAAGAACACCGGUGGCGAAGGCGGCCCACUGGCUCGAUACUGACGCUGAGGUGCGAAAGCGUGGGGAGCAAACAGG
rnacentral:rRNA from 1 species